UAUGAACUCAACCACCAAUGCAAAUAAUCACAAAUGAGUUUGACAGGCUAAAGGGUAUGUGAGCUUUUCACUAACUGUACGCCAGUGAAGUGAUUCUGGGCCUCCCGCUGACUAUGAAGACAACACACAAGGUUGAGGCUCUCGGGGCUUUAAUGUGCUGCUCCAGGGCCAGUACGAUGCAGUUGGCGAUGAUGGUGGCCAGGAUCAAGUACUCAAACGGAGUGUGCAGGUUAAGGAACACAAGCCAUGACAAAGAAUUGCAUGCACGGUAAAAGAAAAGAAACACUAACUCCGACAUGUUAUUGUCCUGGCCCUGCUGAAAGGUGAAUUUGUCUCCCAGUGUUUGUGGGACCUGAGCCCUAGGACCAUGCCCCAGGACUACCUGACAUGAUGACUCCUUGCUGUCCCCAGUCCACCUGGCCAUGCUGCUGCUCCAGUUUCAACUGGCCUGGGCCCUAGGACCAUGUCCCAGGACUACCUGACAUGAUGACUCCUUGCUGUCCCCAGUCCACCUGGCCAUGCUGCUGCUCCAGUUUCAACUGUUCUGCCUUACUAUUAUUCAACCAUGCUGGUCAUUUAUGAACAUUUGAACAUCUUGGCCACGUUCUGUUAUAAUCUCCACCCGGCACAGCCAGAAGAGGACUGGCCACCCCACAUAUGCUCUCUCUAAUUCUCUCUUUCUCUCUCUCUCGGAGGACCUGAGCCCUAGGACCGUGCCCCAGGACUACCUGACAUGAUGACUCCUUGCUGUCCCCAGUCCACCUGACUGUGCUGCUGCUCCAGUUUCAACUGUUCUGCCUUAUUAUUAUUCGACCAUGCUGGUCAUUUAUGAACAUUUGAACAUCUUGGUCAUGUUCUGUUAUAAUCUCUACCCGGCACAGCCAGAAGAGGACUGGCCACCCCACAUAGCCUGGUUCCUCUCUAGGUUUCUUCCUAGGUUUUGGCCUUUCUAGGGAGUUUUUCCUAGCCACCGUGCUUUUACACCUGCAUUGUUUGCUGUUUGGGGUUUUAGGCUGGGUUUCUGUACAGCACUUUGAGAUAUCAGCUGAUGUACGAAGGGCUAUAUAAAUAAAUUUGAUUUGAUUUGAUUUUUGAAAUGUCAUACAGUGUUGUAAUGACAUGCAAACAGUUAAAACACAAAAGGGAAAAUAUGUUGUAUUUACAAUGGUGUUUGUCUUCACAAGCAACUGAGCAUAUUUAUGCUUGCAAUAACAAAGUGGUUGAAUACUUGACAAGAUGUCUUUUCAGUUUUAAUUCAUUUGUAAACAUAAUUCCACUGACAUGGGAUAUUGGGUGUAGGCGAGUGACAAAAAAAAAAUCUAAAUGGAAUACAUUUUAAAUUCAGACUAACAACACAACAAAAUGUGGAAAAAGGUCAAGCAGUGGGAAUACUUUGAAGGCACCAUCUGCCUCAAGCUUCUGUCUCCAGGUAUUUCUCAGGCUUCCUCUUAAAAUCUUCUCUUCCGAAAAUCCUCAUCCCCCCGGAACCUGUCUGGUGUGCCCCACCACACUCAUUAUGCUCUUAAUAAAACCUGGCAGCCAUAUCCAUUAGUAGUAAAUUUAUUGAAAGAUACAACCAAUUCGAUGGAUGUUGCACAGUCCAGAAAUAUGUAACAGAAAGUAAAUUUUGUAUAACCUUUUUAUAUUCAUACCUUUGAAAAAUGUGCACAAGAGUCACUACUGUACUAACCACAUUAAAUACAUAGGAAUAAUGUGUAGGUUUCCAUCAACAUGAAAUGGUGUAACAAAAUUGAAACAGGCUAAACUACAGUAACUACAGAUACAAAACUGAAGUUAAAUGUAAAAAGAAAAAUAAUUUGCUUAAUUUUACAAUGCAAAAUCAACAAAAGGAAAAGAAAACAUUGGCAGCAGAAUACUUGCAUCUCACCCCAUUAACAGUCAACCCCAAUGCAGUCCCUCCAGAAUUGUGUAAAAUGUAUUUAAAACUUAAUAUUCAAGGUGUCAGCCUUAGAACAUGCUUAAAAAUCCUGCAGAUAAAAAAUACAAAUCCACCCGCUUUAAUUUUGUAGGUACAGUAUAGUACAUAACUGUACAGCUUAGUCAACUCCCACCUCAACCCUUUUGCAAUCUUCAUACCCUUACAGUUGGUCAAUUUGAUGUCACACCACCUUUCAUAUAUGCACAUACUGUUUCCAGAACAAAAGUAUUUAAUAGAAGAGGACCAUUGUGUUGAAGAGGAAUUCAUGCCAGAACUGACAGAAUCUGCCACUCC